rnacentral:rRNA from 1 species
UACGUAGGGUGCGAGCGUUAAUCGGAAUUACUGGGCGUAAAGCGUGCGCAGGCGGCGCGUUAAGACAGGUGUGAAAGCCCCGAGCUUAACUUGGGAAUUGCGCUUGUGACUGGCGAGCUAGAGUGUGGCAGAGGGGGGUGGAAUUCCGCGUGUAGCAGUGAAAUGCGUAGAGAUGCGGAGGAACACCGAUGGCGAAGGCAGCCCCCUGGGCUGACACUGACGCUGAGGAGCGAAAGCGUGGGGAGCGAACAGG